rnacentral:rRNA from 1 species
UACGAAGGGGGCUAGCGUUGUUCGGAAUUACUGGGCGUAAGCGCGCGCAGGCGGUCUUCCAAGUCAGUGGUGAAAGCCCGGAGCUCAACUCCGGAACUGCCAUUGAAACUGUGAGACUUGAGUACGAGAGAGGUGAGUGGAAUUCCCAGUGUAGAGGUGAAAUUCGUAGAUAUUGGGAAGAACACCGGUGGCGAAGGCGGCUCACUGGCUCGUAACUGACGCUCAGGCGCGACAGCGUGGGGAUCGAAACAAGGAU